UGUACGAUCCAUCCGUCUCAAAAAAGUGCAAUAUUUUAAUUGCCCGUCUUAUUUAAAAUUAUUUUAUAAUUAAUAUUUUUUGUUAUUAGAUGAUAAAAUAUUAAUGGUUCUUUAUGGGUUGCUAUUAUUUUUUAAUUUUUUAAAAUAAAAUUUUUAAAUAAGACGAACCGUCAAAUGUUGGACACGAAAAUCUAUAAAUACAAUUACA
rnacentral:pre_miRNA from 1 species